GAUGAACGCUAGCGGCAGGCCUAACACAUGCAAGUCGAGGGAGAAGCCCUUUCGGGGGCAGAAACCGGCGCACGGGUGCGUAACGCGUAUGCAACCUACCUUUCACAGGGGGAUAGCCCGAAGAAAUUUGGAUUAAUACCCCAUAAUAUUAUUGGAUGGCAUCAUUUGAUAUUUAAAACUGCGGUGGUGAAAGAUGGGCAUGCGUCCUAUUAGCUAGUUGGCGUGGUAACGGCACCCCAAGGCUACGAUAGGUAGGGGUCCUGAGAGGGAGAUCCCCCACACUGGUACUGAGACAGGGACCAGACUACUACGGGAGGCAGCAGUGAGGAAUAUUGGUCAAUGGUCGGAAGACUGAACCAGCCAUGCCGCGUGCAGGAAGAAUGCCUUAUGGGUUGUAAACUGCUUUUAUAUGGGAAGAAUAAGGCGUACGUGUACGUUGAUGACGGUACCAUAUGAAUAAGCAUCGGCUAACUCCGUG
rnacentral:rRNA from 1 species